AAGCAUCUGCGCGACAGAACUUUCUUGAUGACUGAGCAUCUACUCAGACGACGAAUGUGUAGUGGCGACAAACCCGUCGAACUCGGACACAUGGCGAGACACUAUCCGACGGCCGCCUGCCGAUCCAAGCCACCGAUCCGAUCCACAAUCUCAGAAAUAUGCGCCGCCGUCAUGGCCCAUGUAUGAGGCACGUAGUUCGUCCGUAUCCGCUCCUCGCACUGCCUGACGUAAUCCGGAUCUGUCACGGCUCUGAAAACGAGCUUGUAACAGCCGGCAAAAUCGA
rnacentral:misc_RNA from 1 species